GUCUCUUCGGGGAUGAUUAAACCGGCGCACGGGUGAGUAACACGUGAGUGACCUGCCUUUUAGACUGGAACAACUUACCGAAAGGUGAGCUAAUGCCGGAUGAGUUAUAUAAGUGCAUGUUUAUAUAGGAAAAGUUGGGGAGACCUGACGCUGAAAGAUGGACUCGCGUCCCAUUAGCUAGUUGGUAGGGUAAUGGCCUACCAAGGCGACGAUGGGUAGCCGGCCUGAGAGGGUGGCCGGCCACACUGGGACUGAGACACGGCCCAGACUCCUACGGGAGGCAGCAGUGGGGAAUUUUGCGCAAUGCUCGUAAGAGUGACGCAGCGACGCCGCGUGAAUGACGAAGGCCUUCGGGUCGUAAAGUUCUUUCGACAGGGAAGAAAAUGCCUAUAAGUAACUGUGUAUGUAUUGACGGUACCUGUAUAAGCAGCCCCGGCUAACUCCGUGCCAGCAGCCGCGGUAAUACGGAGGGGGCGAGCGUUGUUCGGAGUGACUGGGCGUAAAGAGCACGUAGGCGGUGUUGUAAGUCAUUAGUCAAAGACUAGAGCUCAACUUUAGUAAGGCUAGUGAUACUAUAAUACUAGAGUAUCAGAGAGGAUUGCAGAAUUCCUGGUGUAGCGGUGAAAUGCGUAGAUAUCAGGAGGAAUACCGUUAGCGAAGGCGGCAAUCUGGCUGGAAACUGACGCUGAGGUGCGAAAGCGUGGGUAGCAAACAGGAUUAGAUACCCUGGUAGUCCACGCUGUAAACGAUGGAUGCUAGGUGUUGGGCUUUUAAGUUCAGUGCCGCAGCAAACGCGAUAAGCAUCCCGCCUGG
rnacentral:rRNA from 1 species